rnacentral:rRNA from 1 species
GAUGAACGCUGGCUACAGGCUUAACACAUGCAAGUCGAGGGGAAACGGCGUUGAGUGCUUGCACUGAAUGGACGUCGACCGGCGCACGGGUGAGUAACGCGUAUCCAACCUUCCCGUUACUGCGGGAUAACCUGCCGAAAGGCAGACUAAUACCGCAUGUUCUUCGAUGACGGCAUCAGAUUCGAAGCAAAGACUCGUCGGUAACGGAGGGGGAUGCGUCUGAUUAGCUUGUUGGCGGGGCGACGGCCCACCAAGGCGACGAUCAGUAGGGGUUCUGAGAGGAAGGUCCCCCACAUUGGAACUGAGACACGGUCCAAACUCCUACGGGAGGCAGCAGUGAGGAAUAUUGGUCAAUGGGCGGAAGCCUGAACCAGCCAAGUAGCGUGCAGGACGACGGCCCUACGGGUUGUAAACUGCUUUUAUGCGGGGAUAAAGUGAGGGACGCGUCCCUUUUUGCAGGUACCGCAUGAAUAAGGACCGGCUAAUUCCGUGCCAGCAGCCGCGGUAAUACGGAAGGUCCGGGCGUUAUCCGGAUUUAUUGGGUUUAAAGGGAGUGUAGGCCGGGGAUUAAGUGUGUUGUGAAAUGUAGGCGCCCAACGUCUGACUUGCAGCGCAUACUGGUUCCCUUGAGUACGCGCAACGCCGGCGGAAUUCGUCGUGUAGCGGUGAAAUGCUUAGAUAUGACGAAGAACCCCGAUUGCGAAGGCAGCCGGCGGGAGCGCAACUGACGCUGAAGCUCGAAGGUGCGGGUAUCGAACAGG